AAAAAAGGGUUUAUUGUGAAGAACCCCAGAAAAGCCCACCUGUUUUACAUGCCUUUUAGUUCACGUUUUCUACAGUAUGAGUUAUAUGUACCUGGAUCACGUAAUCGGACCAAUAUGGUAUCACACUUGAAGAAUUAGGUGGAAAAUAUAAUCGCGAAGUAUCCUUUUUGGAACAGAACUGGUGGGGCAGAUCAUUUUCUUGCUGCUUGCCAUGACUGGCCUACUGUGUAGUUGCAGUUGGGUCAGUUGGCAGACAAAUUCCCAUUGCCUUCCUGUAGCGGGUUAAGGAUGAUUUCAACAAGAAGUACGGAGGAGGAAGAGCUGCCACUGCUGUUGCUAACAGCCUCAACAAGGAGUUUGGGUCCAAACUGAAAGAGCACAUACAGUAUUGUGUGGACCAUCCAGAGGAGAUCAGCAAGCUUGCAAAA